GCAAGUCUGGUGCCAGCAGCCGCGGUAAUUCCAGCUCCAAUAGCGUAUAUUAAAGUUGUGCAGUUAAAAGCUCGUAGUUGAACCUUGGCCUGGCUGGCCGGUCCGCCUCACCGCGUGCACUGGUCCGGCCGGGCCUUUCCUUCUGGGGAACCGCAUGCCCUUCACUGGGCGUGUCGGGGAACCAGGACUUUUAC
rnacentral:rRNA from 1 species